ACUUAUUAAAGGGUAAUUUAUUCCUUGUAUAAAAAUAUGUACAGCUCAUUUUCAUUAUAGUCACUUUAACUUUUUAAAUAAAACUAUCCAAGUGCUUAAUGUUUUAUUGACGGGAUAAAGUAAUGAUUCAUGUCCUUGGGACAUAAAAAUGUAGAUCUGUACUUUGGUCAAUUAGUGGUGUCCUGGUGCUAAGCUAACAAUAAUCACACUAAAUUACUUGAAACUAGACUACUAAUGGCAUAAAUAAAGAGCAGAUAAAUUGUACUAGGCAGUUUACUAGAGCAUCUCAGAAGUCAGAAUUUUACCUUUUUCCUGAUAAGCAAGUAAUUUUCCGUCAGGCAGUAAAUACACGUCAUAGCCAGAAAAUGAGGAAAUUCUAAUCAAGGUGCCAAUUCUCGCAUUAGCUCUUCCCUGUACCUUGGUGCACACACCAACUUCACAGCAUGCCCUUUCCUUAGUAGGAUGGAAAGGAAACAGGAAUAUGCUGGCCCUGCCAUUUUGCCGAAGAGCAUGGAAAAGCCAUAAGAUUAAGGACUGUCAAAGAAGUCCUAAGUUACAGUGACCGUAUUAAGGUGGUUCAAGAUGCUCAUCUUCCUAGAACGUGCAGUUUGUUUUAUGCUAAACGUUCAUCUCAUAUUGUGACCUUGUUCUUCCUGCUAUGCUACAAAUCAGUGAGAAUGUCUUCAUCUGGCCAUAAUUGGGGACAAGGACAACAACCAGCUACGUGACUGAUACACAUCAACACUGAAUGCAACAGAACCAAAAUAGCAGGAAACUUGCAGGAGAUAUGGUUGUAUACUAGGCAGACACAGUUUCUGCCUUCAGAGGUGACACAUACUCAGUGAGGAGAAGGACAUUCCAGAAAAGGACACCAACAUGUGCAAAGGCAAAAGCUAUGAAGAGCCUGGCAACAUCAUGAGUGACAUCUCAUUCAGCAUAUCGCCACACAAGAAAAAGUUGAUAAAAUUCUGCUGAUAAAUUGCCACUAAUUAGGCAAGCCCUAGAGACUCUUGGAUGUCACCCGCAGCAGCCUGGACUGUGAUUCUCAACCUGGAACCGCAACUCCAGCUUCUGGGAGUCUGGGAACAGUCAUGAUACAGGUGUGGAUGGCACGCUGGCAUUCCUGCUCUUACCCAUCUCCCUCCAUCAGCAUGCUCCCUAGACCUUCAGAGACACAGAGGACCACUGGGUGAGAACAGAACAUAAGUACACAGAAAAGGGUGGCAGAAGCUAUAGGUGUUCUCAAAACCAGAGGAGAAUGAAGGUCUUAUGUACGGAAUUGAGCACAUCAGACUCUGUAGCCACACUUUCUGUUUCAAACACUCUACUUUUGUCUGUAACUAAGGAAAUUAUGAUCGUUUUUUUAGAUUGGUAUGAACCAAUUUUGCUAUUUCAUGAAAAUUCUGUAUUUUCAUAAAAUAUAGUCUCAUAUGAAUGUUGUUUUAAUCCUUAUAUUUACAUGACAAGACUAAAACAUGUUUUGUUACACCUUGGGCUUUUUCGGUUAGUAAAUCUAUGGGAUAUUUCUCCCCUCGGUGCUUCAGUUGAACAAUUUUAUCUUUCUAUCCAAACAUAACCACCAAAUAGAUAAUCAUGUUACAGCGAGCCUUCCAAACACAUUUUUUCCAUUCAUCUGGAUGUCCUGUGAUCAUCCCACUAUGAACAGUAAAAAGACACCAGGAAAAUGGGUGAAAAACAGGAACAUCUGGCAAGAGGACCAGACAUCAAGGAGGAAAAUGGACAACAAGGGAAAGAAAGGCAGCAUGGAGAACUAUCAGGACAAAAGAAAAUUAAAACAAAAAGUCCAAACAUAUAGAAAGUCAAAAAGCAAUUUAAAAAGGAAAUAAGAGAUUAGAAAACAGUAUUCUCAAAAAUGUCUUUUCAUUUCUGGAAUGUGCAGAGUUCCACUUUUGAGAGUCCUUUCCUCACUCAUGAAUGUGUUUGAAUUUAACACAUAAUUUUCUUCUAAGAUAUAAGGCCACAUAGAGAAGAUGAAAGAAAUAACAUUGGCAAGGUUUUUAUUUUUUAUUUUUCCUUUUUAAAUCUCUGUCCACACUCGGGAAGCAAGGUCUUAAUAAUUCUAAAGCUGUAUGGAAGGUGAACACAUAUUUUGAAGAGAGAGCACCAUAUCAAGCGAUGCCCCAAGACUCAGUCUAUGCCUUAUACUCACAGAUGAUGUGGACAAAGAAACAGUAAGCCUGACAACCACACCUGUACAGGAUGCACUACUGAGCAUGAUUACUGACCUGCACAACAGAAGAAGUAGGCUGACAUUUCAAAGUAGGAUGACAUUUUGGGAAAAUCUCACACAGAAAAGCAAACUAGAAAGAAAUCUGGCCAGACAUAAAUAUAAAGGGAGAAAUGACUGAACAUGAUCAGAUUUGUGAAAAAUUAAUGACCUCCUCACCCAACACCAGAGAAAUUGCACGUUAAAAUUUUUUGAAAAAAUUUUAUAAGAUAAAUGUCUCAUGAUUGGGAGAAAUCAUAAUGGAACAUUUCAAGAGACUAGAACCCAUAAAAAUGUAAAACUAUCAUCUAGCAAAAUAAUCAUAAACAGACUCAAACGUAUUAAAGACAAAGAGUUAAUGCUUUUAUUAUCCAAAUACCUCUUACAAAACAAUAUGAGUAACAACCACAAAGAAAAGUAGAAAAGGACAAAUUCAAGGAAAAGAAAUACAAAUGGCUGUUAACAUUCUAUGAAUCAGGACUCCUCCAAAAAACAAGUGCCUUUUGUCACUUCUAAAAGGGAUUCCUAUGUAUCAAAAAGAAUACAGGCUGAAAUUUUUGUUUUAACAUUUUUCAAGUUGCAACAGGAAGUCAUAAGCACCACAUCAUUUUCUAUGAGUGGACAAAUCAACUAUGCUCAAAUCAAAAUGCUUGCCUUAAAAAAAAUACCUCCUCUUAUAGGAGGAAACAACAAAAUUAAUAAUGGUCAGCAUAAAACUAUACAAAUCACCUAUUCUUAGAAUAUUAACUUUAAGAAGAAAUAUUAGAUUAUCACUAACAAAAGUUUAGAGGGAAGCACAGCUCUACAAGUUCUGGUUUACAGGAAGUUACUUAGCACAAAGGCUGAAUACAUUAAAGUAUAAUUCUGUCAGAGGCUGCUGACAAAAAUGAAACCCCUGUGCACAGUAACAAUCUCAAUGUGGAGAUGUCUCAAAGAAAUAUAUUAAGUGGGAAAUCCUGUAACAGAUGCAAGCAGAAAUCCUAGGAAAAAUAACCAAUCAAUUCCUGCAUGUGGUGCAUAUAGGUCUCUAUUACCUAAAAUACCCUGAUAACUGCUGUGCUUUCUCAUGAUUUCUUAUACUGCUGUGCUUUCUCAUUUCUUAUAUUGAUUUCCAAAGAGGAGGAAGAGUGAAAAUUAAUUGUAUGGACCUGUUCAAUUCCAGAUGUGAGCAAGUGUGGUUCAGGUCAUGUAUAGAGUACUAUUUUUAAUGUACUUAGCAUUAAAUGCUAUAUGGAGAAUAAUAUGCACAGAACUCAAAAGCCCAAGUAGUGGUUGAUUCAGAAUGGUUAAAUUAGGUUCCUUUCUUCCAAUGUCAUUAAGACACUUUACACUAACUAGUAAUCUACAUCCAAGGUUAUAAAUUUCCCUACUGAUUAUCAACCAAGAACCUCUUACGGGUUUAACACCAAGAAUAGGAUAAACAGAAGUAUAUGUUAUGGUUCUUCCCUUAAGGACUUCAGGGUGGAGAGGAUAUAAGAAUACGAUCAUUAGAACACUUGUUGCAAUUAGAAAAUGCCACUAAAUAAUGAAGUGUAGAUUAUAAAUAUUUAAGUACCAAAGAAAGUACAGGAAGGAAGUCUGGAAUACUGUGGGGACUUCACGGAAAAGGAGAAAGAAACUGUGCUCAAUAAAAGGUAGAAUUUGACAUUUGAAAGAAUAAGGCUCACAUUCUAAACAGGAAACAGCAUAAGUAAAAGUAAACUUCGUCCUUGAUACUCUCUGUCAUCAGCCACUAAAGGGAUCCAAAUCAGAUACAAUUCAAAGUGGCACAUCAUUUAAUAAAGGUGACUGAGUCCUAAAUCAGCCAAUGAUAAUAAUCAUAAUAAUUUUAAGCAAUGAAGAAGCAUGAUGAAAACAAUACUUACGGAAGAGUACUCUGGCAACAACUUGUAGAGUGGAUCCAAGAGAAGAAAGUGGCAUGGGAGAAACCAAAGAGGUUCUUGAGAAAAUCUAACCUAAAGGUCUUAAACACCCAGACUGAAGUCAUGGCCCUGGUAACAGAGAGAAAGUGGUAGACCUGAAACUGAUUUAUAAGCAUCAGUAGAAUUUGGUGAUAAUUGAUUCCAAAUGAUGCAUGAGAGAAAAUGCCAAAGUUCCUAGCCCAAGGGAAUGACAAAUUCCAUCUCAGUUUUUUUAUUCUAAAAAUGAGAAAACACAGAAGACUAAGUAUACUGUGAACAUGAUUGGAUGCUGCAGUGUCUAUCUUUUGCUCAGGCUAUUGUGUAUUUGAAUUACCUUCCUAUGUUUGGAGAAUCUCUUAGGAGGAAGAGCCUCCCUUCUACACUAAAAAUAAAAAUAUCCAACACUCACAUCUCAGCCUCCACUGCAGCUAUGGUCUGGGCUCAUGAGCUGCUUUCUGCCAAUCAGGUGCACUAGCCCUAGACUUUGAUGUGUAAGUUAGAAAAAUGAAAAGGCAAGGCAAGUAGGGACUCUCAUGACAACUGGUGGCAGUAUCCAGCAGCAGUGGCUGGAGCCCGGGACAACUGUCAAGUGGCAAGAACAGUGCCCCCUGGAAGCCUUCAUCACCAGACAAGUUCAAUGGUAUGAUCUCAGGCACUGAUCCUGGCUGCCUGGUUUUAAGGCCCUCCCAGACAUUGUGUGAGCCACUCAACGUGCUUUAAGUAACUUCCCUUUCUAUUUAUAUCAGAAACUGUUUCUGUGGCAUAUAAUUAAGAAUCCUGAUUGACAAGUGACACUAAUGGAAAGAGCUUGUGAAAUGGUAGUAAUAAAGUACUUUUUUCAAGAAGAUGGGAUAUUUGGAAUGAAAUUCAGGAAUGUCAGUCAUAAGGGUACUAUAUGUUUAAGAUACAGGUUGCAAAGGAGCAAUAUCUCAAAAUUCCUGGUCUCUUCCACAGUUGCACAUACGCACUUAGUCCAUUGUCUAACAGAGAGGCAAUGUGAUGUGUUAACAAAAAUGAAUACGGGCUUUGGACACUGAUGAGCCAGCCUACGCUUGAAUAACAACUCGAGGAUUAGGUGCUUUAGUGACUUUAGGUAUGUAACUUUACCUCUCUGAGCCUGUUUCUAACAUAUAAAGUCGAAAUAAUCCUGUCAAUUCAUCAAAGUGGUUGUUGGAAUUAAGUGAGAUAGUUGAUCCCAAAACCCCCAUCUCUUGCCAAGUAUAUAGGUGUGCUCAAUAACUGCCAAUUUCUUAAUCAAUUUAUACCAGCCACAUGCAGUCUUUCAUAGCAUGAUCCUGUCCUGACUUGGCUAAUACAAUCCCACCUCUGCCCCUGAUUUUGCUAACCUCCUGGCAUCGUAAAAUUAGUCACUUAGUAACUUCACUCCAAUGUCCAAUGGGCCUGCCUGUAGAUGCUCAAUGAUAUUUAGGCUUUAUGGUUUUUCCUUUGACUCAUUUACUUUUGCCUGCUUUGAGUCGUAAGAACUUCAACUUGACAGCUCAAGUUUUUAAAGUAAUACAUUCUCAUUGUCAAGAAUUUGGAAAGUAUAUCAAGUGUACAAAAGAUGAAAUAUCAUGAAACUAUUAGAGCCGGAAGAAAUCUAAAAGAAGGUCUUUUCAAACCCUCUUAUUUUCCAAAUGAACACACUGAAGCACAGAGAGGUUGGAGGAUGGUUCCAAAUUCACACAGGAAUCAUUUCACCUAUCAACAAACCUGUACUGAGCAUCAUGGAACAGGGCCAGGGCCCGGGCUUUAGCUGGGUCUCCUGAUUCUACUGCCAAUACACACUCUACUGCAUGUCCAAAGGCUGAAGUUCUAUACCUCCCACCAAAGCCCCACAGCAACAGACCUUCAAUAACAACUGUUAAAUCUGAAGACCAAGUAGGAUUUCCAUAGACAACAAAGGGCAUUGGUGCAGAGGCAGCAGCACAACUAGAGGCAUGAGGCAUGCCAGUGCAGAGCAGGUCUGGGGAACAGUAAACCAUCAGCCACAGUAGCCCAUGUGGCAGAAAAGAGAAACACGAAACUGGCCAAGCUGGCCAGGGACAGAUUAGAAGACCCUUCAUGCUGUGUCAGCGAGGUGGGCCUUUUCCUCUGCAGAAGGAGCCAUCAAAGGCUCAUGGAGAGCACAGGCGAGUCAGAAAAAGAGCGGAGUUGCAAUUACUCCAGAUUGGAGGGGAAACUAAGGGAAUUAGGGAGGCCAAGCAAGUGACCACUGCAAUGGCCUGGAUAAUAAGAAAGGACACGCUUCCUCAGGCAGAGGAUGAGGAGACCAGAAGAACACUUCUCAAAUGGCUGGCGGAACAUAAGAAGGCACUCACCACAGGACAGGGCAAUCACUCUCAGAGCUACCACAAACCUAUUGCUGGGCCAGGGCCUAAAACUGAAGAAGGGCAAGGGAAAAAAGGAAAAGGCAAAAACCUCACAUAUUGGCAAUGGCUUUCAGAAACAAAACAAAUGCAAUUUAUUGCUCUGCAUUCACUCUCUGGACUCAACUUCACAAUCCCAUCUGACAACUAAAGACUUAGGAGACCAGAUCCCCAAGGGCCACCCCACAACUCUAAACACCAUUCACACAGAGGCAAUUAAUUCAGAAAGGAUAGCAGGGGACACACUGGUCAUUAUAUGGCACAGGGGGAACUCCUGACAAGGCCAACUUCUCUGAUCAGGUUCCCACUGGGCCAAGUUGUAGGGAUGAGGAGAGCCGGGCAGGUUCAUCUGGACCUUGUGGUAGAAGCAACCCUCACUCAGAGCUGAUGUGAAUGCUGUCUUGGUUUAGUAGAUUAUAGACACACCCUAAGGCAAGUCUCCCAGAGGAAACAACAUCCACCUCCCUGUUUAAUCUCAUAGUCUCCACGGGCCCAACACCAAUCAAUCAGGAUCCAUCUGGAACAAAGCUGCAUUCUCUCAAAUGUAUUCUCCUCAAUUAGGUUUAGUGGAAAUGCAUCCAGAGCGUUUUUUUUACCAUAAAAUGCUGACCACGCUUUCAGUAAUAACUACUGAGGAAUCACACAGACAGACACAAGUUUAUUUGCUUCCUUUGAAGGAAGGAAGGAAGGAAGGAAGGAAGGAAGGAAGGAAGGAAGGAAGGAAGGCAGGCCGGCCAGAAAAACAAACUGAUAUAUUCUAUAUUGGUAUUAUCUAGAGCCAUUAAAAUAAUAUAUGAGAACUAUAAAUACCACCAGGACUCAUCUCAAAAACGUUUCUAAAAACAUAGAUUAAACUGUGUCAUUAUGUAAAUAACAUAUGUAUCUAAAACAGGGGGGCCUGGAAGGCUCAGUUGGUCAAGCGUCUGACUUGACCAAGCGGCUCAGGUCAUGAUCUUACCAUCCAUGAGUUUGAGCCUCGCGUCAGGCUCUGUACUGACAGCUUGGAGCCUGGAGCCUGCUUCAGAUUCUGUCUCUGUGUCUCCCUGCCUGUCUCUCUCUCUCAAAAUAUAAACGAAACAUUUUUAAACAUACACAGUAUAACUAACAUUUAUGAAUACAUAAGCAGUUAAAAUACAAAAUAAUACGACACAGGUGAAGGCUGAGCACACUCCCAAGGAGCCAGGUCUCCUGGCAAGCUGUUCUUCAGUCUCCUUUAUGACCCCGCACUCUUGCAAACUUACUCUCAUUAGGGAGAAAAUUAAAAAGGAGUUUACUAUAUAAACCUCCAGUCAAGUGCCUGACUUCCCCAAGAAGUUUGAUUCUUUCAAUCAACAUGUAUAAUGGAGCUAUGUUCAGUUAAAUUUUCUAACACCAGAAUUGUAUAAAAAAAAGAAAAAGAAAGAGAAAAAAUAACUUAUUAUCCUGUAGUUUUUUCUGUUUUUUUUUAACCUUACAUAUUAGUUAUAAUCUGUUUUUAACUCAAGUUUGGGGAACAAAAUAGGCUAUGAACUUUCCUGCGCCUUUGAUACAAGUCUCCAAUGAACUAGUAAAACGUACUUCAAAGAAACUAAAUAUUUUGUGUGUAACAAUUUAACUUUCUAGCUUUCUCCUUUAAAAUGUAUUACUAUCAGAGUGCCUGGGUGGCUCAGUGGGUUGGGCGUCCGGCUUCGGAUCAGGUCAUGAUCUCAUGGUUCCUGGGUUCGAGCCCCUAGUUGGGCUCUAUACUGACAUCUCAGAUCCUGGAGCCUGUCUUCAGAUUCUUUGUCUCCCUCUCUCUGUCCUUCCCCUGCUCAUGCUGUGUCUGUCUGU